UGGGGAAUAUUGGACAAUGGGCGCAAGCCUGAUCCAGCCAUGCCGCGUGAGUGAUGAAGGCCCUAGGGUUGUAAAGCUCUUUCACCGGUGAAGAUAAUGACGGUAACCGGAGAAGAAGCCCCGGCUAACUUCGUGCCAGCAGCCGCGGUAAUACGAAGGGGGCUAGCGUUGUUCGGAUUUACUGGGCGUAAAGCGCACGUAGGCGGACUUUUAAGUCAGGGGGUGAAAUCCCGGGGGCUCAACCCCGGAACUGCCUUUGAUACUGGAAGUCUUGAGUAUGGUAGAGGUGAGUGGAAUUCCGAGUGUAGAGGUGAAAUUCGUAGAUAUUCGGAGGAACACCAGUGGCGAAGGCGGCUCACUGGACCAUUACUGACGCUGAGGUGCGAAAGCGUGGGGGAGCAAACAGGAUUAGAUACCCUGGUAGUCCACGCCGUAAACGAUGAAUGUUAGCCGUUGGGGAGUUUUAACUCUUCGGUGGCGCAGCUAACGCAUUAAACAUUCCGCCUGGGGAGUACGGUCGCAAGAUUAAAAACUC
rnacentral:rRNA from 1 species